AACCAAUAUGGUUCACUGAGAAAGCAACCUUGAUUGAUAUUUUCAGUUGAAGCAUAACACAGAAACCUUGUAACACUAAGACUGCCUUGUUCAAGAGUUACAGCAUCAGGAAUGAACUGUACUACCUACACCAGGUAACUUAUAAGCUUUGAGAACAGGAAAUCAUAAUUAUUUGACAUUCAACAAAUACAAACGUAGAAGAGGGGAAUGGAGGUUGCUACACCCAGUUAGAAGAAAGCCUUCUAUUUGUGAAUAGGUUUCAAAUAACUGAUGGCAAAGCUUCCCUUAAAAAAAUCUUUCUCAAAACAAAUAAAAUAAAGAUAAAGUAAUGACAUUAAGCUGCUUCAAAAUCAAGACCUCACUGAAGAAAGCAGCAUCCUGUACACAAACAAGGUUUAUAAAGUUUUAACAGCAUACAGAUGCCAAACUGAAUACAUUAAUAAUGACCGGAAGUUAGCCUCAUUCUGAUGCCAACUUCCUGCAAGACCUUUCCAUACUCAUCUGAUGCUUGAGCAAAGCCAGGUCAGUCUGCCAUUGUCCACCUAAUCAGUGAAAACCAAAAAUUUUGGACAGACAAAGACACAUUUUCUCAUUUCUCCUAACCUCUUCUAUCCAAAAAAACAUGGUUUAUCCAGUAGGAUCAUCUCAUACCGCUAAUGGUAGGCUUGACUUAAUUGAGCUCAAAAACAUUUCCUGAUUCCUACAAUGCUUACAUAUGUUUUCUAGACUCAGUUCCAUCAAGAGAACAAAGCAUCUCCAUUAUUCACUGAUAUCAGAUUUUGCAAUGAUGGUCAAUGGAAAUAUCUCUCCUGCAGAAGGAAGUCAGGGGAGAGCCAUCUCUUGCUUCCAAACUGGUCACUUGCAGGGCCGGCUUGAGCCCUAGGCGACUGAGGCGGUCGCCUAAGGCCCCCGGCCCCAAAGAAGGCCCCCCGCUGCCGCCGCACCGCGCUGCGUCGCUGCCCAAAGAAGACCCCGCUGCUGCGCUGCACCGCAGUUUCACAGCAGUGGCACUGUGGCAGUAGCUACUAACCUACCGCCUGGCGCCUAGCUGCCUACAACAAUGGACAGUCGACAAGACAAGCAACGGACGACUCCUUCCCCCCUUCUCGUAGAGCCAACGGCUCCCUCGACAAGAUGACUGAGGCUCCUCUUCUGCAGCUCUGCUUCACCGACCACCCUCUUCUGUCUUUGUCUUCAUCGUGACCAACAAGGGCCGAAGGGCGCCGCCGCGCCGGCGAGCCGGCGAGGUCGUCUCCUUGCCUCUCUCCCGUCCCGCGACCUCCUUGCCUCUCUCCCGUCCCCUAAGGCCUAAGUCCCUGACUCCCAUCUUCUUCACAUCAGCCCGCUGCACUUGUAAGUCUCUCUCUCUAGAUGGACAAGAAAGAUGUUUGAGAAAAUGCCUAUGAAAAUUUGUGCGCCUAAUUCCGUAGUUUGUUUGUCUUGGCAUCAGAUGUCUAUUGGUUGAGCCGUUGAGGUCAAUCCAAUCCAUUUACAGCAGUCGUUCGGUCAUGCGCCGUGAAGUUGAUAAUUGCACUUACAUUCUGCAUUCAUUUGAGUGGCAUUACCUUUUGCAAGUUCCUGCCGAUCUUGAAAUCAUACUGCUUCCCCGGUUCCCCCUCCCUCAUAGGAACUCACCGAAACAUUUGUCCAGCAUUGCUUGAAAUUGGUGCUUCCUUGCUUCUAAUGUACUUAUUGAUUUGAUCUACAAGCAGCCUUCCUUAUCUUUUCUGGGUGAAUGUUGGAUAGGAUGAUUCUUUCAGUUUUAUUUUUUUAUAUCUUGCAUUGUGCCAUUGUCCCUGUGUUGGUGCUCUAAGCAUUAGAAGCAGAGCUCAAUUCUCAAGUUCCUUUCUCUAGCCUUGUCAACAAGUAGAAGUUGAACACCCUUUUUCUAUCUUUUUUUAUUGGAGUUUAGAGAUUUAUUGUCUCUCAUGGGGCAAAAAUUACUUUCAUCCACUAAACAUAAGACUGUUUGAAUUCAACCAAUAUUUUCCUGUAUAUCUUUCCUUUGGAGAUAGCAUCUCAAUUUCUUACACACACACACCCCCCGGCACCCAAAAAAAAGUCUAUUGUAGAAUUUUUUUAGGAUUGAAACAAUACUGUUUAAAUAUGAAAAUCGCUUAUUUCACCUCAUUGGUUUGAUAGUUUUAGAUCCAGUUUCAACUAUUUUAAUAUAAAGAUGGCAUCAUGCUUAAAGAAUUAAUUUUAUACUUUUUGAAAACAGAAUGUUUGAAUAGCCCCAUUGGUUUGUUUUACCUGGAAAUUCGAAAACAGCACAGGUUUUGGAUUGGUUCUAGCUGAAAUUUUGACAUUCUGCUCUCAGUUUCCGUGCCAUGGGGAAAAGCCACAAAGUAUUAUAACAAAUUUCUCCUACUAUGGUUUACUAAUUGGAACAUUAAUUUUUUUUUGUUAUUCUUAUCUUUCUAUAUAAAAUUAUAGAUUAAUUAGUUUCAUCUUACUGUUUUUGAAUAGUUUGCAUGCUGGGUGUUCUUUAAUCUCGACCGUUUUUAAAGUAUUUUACACUUAUUAAAAUAUUUUUAUCAUUUUUUAGAAAAAAAAAAGCCUCUCUCAGUGAGUUCGCCUUAGGCCCCCAAAUAUAUUGAGCCGCCCCUGGUCACUUGUCCAAUAAAGAGAUGGAGAACCCGCCUGCGAGGAGGGUAGGUUAAGAGAGAGAAUGAAGAUUGUCCUUUUAUUCUGCUUGCACUCUGUGGGAGGCAGGAGGAAAAUAUUUUUGCUAUGUCAAUGCAGAAUCAGGAGACAACUUUUACAGGAAGCAGGCAGUGUCCUCAAGUAGCAACCAAAAUGUGGAAUUUAUAUAGUAAGAUUGUGUUAAUUUGUAAAAAAGAAAGAGAAAUUUAGUUUGAGUUUGCUAGUUGACCAAGCUUCCCCUUGGAAAGUAAUAAGACUCUGAAAGAAUUCAACCUAUUGACCCAAAACGUAUUUACCUUCAAAGUUAAGUUAGUUGAUCUAACCACAAAAAAGGUUUCUUGAUGAGUUCUCUGCUAGGAUCAUAUUAUGCACUCCAUCAACUAUAGGGGCAUCAAAGAACCCAGCUAGCUUGGCUCAUCUUGAGCUGAAACUGAGCUCAGAUGUUAGACUCAUAACCUGAAACCUAGCUUAAAUCAGGCUUGGUUAGAAGUAGCUUGUACCAAGCUUAUGGACUAGGCUAAAUACAGGCUAACAUCUAUUUAUAUUUAUUUACAUAUGACAGAUGUGCAUGCAUAGUGAGUUGAAAAACUAGUAUUUGCUUUGUAAUAACUUAGACUUUUCAUAUGCCUGGAACUAUAUUAAAUUGAUUAUAUCCAAUGGUAUCAAAUUAUGGCGGACACUACAACUAAAGUUGUCUCUUGGGCUGAUAUUUCAAGAACUUUCUUCACCUAAAAACUUUCCAACUUUAAGGCAAAUUUAGCAGGGCUGCUCCAGAUGGCAUAAGCUCAAGCUCUUCCAAUAAUGCAAGCCUCUGCCUACCAAUUAGUUUUCUAGAGUUCAGGAUAAGCCUGCCUUCAGUACUCAGAUACUUCAACUUAGGGUACGACGCCCCCCCCAGAAGCUCAUUCCUGGACCUGUUUCCUAAGUAUUUUGAUUUUCUAAUUAUUUUUUAACAGAAUCACUUCCCUAUACCCACAGCUUAAUCCAAGUACUCAGAUACUUCAACUUAGGGUACCACACCCACUCAGAAGCUCAUUCCUGGACCUGUUUCCUAAGUAUUUUGAUUUUCUAAUUAUUUUUUAAGAGAAUCACUUCCCUAUACCCACAGCUUAAUCCAUUGCUGCACUUGUUCUAACUUCUGGUAAGUAAGGGUCCGCUAGUGCCGAAAGUUGCCUGGUCCAAGAACUCAAAACCAUUUUUACAGGACUGAUAUCAAGUUGACAAGUAGACUUGGUGAACACUUUUAUCAAUCCUUCUCAGCUAAAAAUUAUGUUCCAUAGGUGACCCUAAAUUGGUGGCAGAAAAGCCUCGGAGAUGACGAUACUGGCUUAUUGGCUUUAAAACAUAUUUCAUACAGAAUUGGGACCGAGUAUGCUAAAUCUUAGAUGUACACUGCUGCACCGAGCCUAAAUCCAAGAUAAUCCAAUGAACCAAGUUGAACUUGAAUCAAGGAAAAUCUGAAAGAGAUGAUGCAAGCAAAUCCCAUCCCUCAGGACUGCAAGUCAAACUCUAGCUGCGCAAAGCUUUUAAAAUCAGCUAAACUUGUUGACACUGCUAACUUAAAGCUUCACAUAGUUCAUGAAGUUGUCAAUCCAUAUGUAUGCAUGCAUAUGCUAAUCAAGACAAGGCUAGCUUGACACAGGCUCUAUUGGUCAAAUGGAUCUGCGCUAAAACUCAAGCACCAGUACUAGCCAAAAGAUGUUAGUGGGCUCAAUCUUGGCUGGCAGUAAACUGAUGUUGCAAGCAAAGUGAGCAAAAUCUUUUAUUGGACUCCCUAAACAGAGACAUUUUUAAAAGAGUUCGGACGUGGUGCAUAAUGUGGUGAUGUCUCUCUCGCAGUUAUAUGAUUGUUGUGUCAACAGGAUUUAAGAGUAGGAUUAUGAAAUACUGAUCAGCAGUGACUGAGAUAGGGAGGCAGCAGUCAUAUAGUGGGAAGAAGUGUGAGGAAGAAGCAAACUAGUUCGGGAGGCUACAGCCACUAAGUGGUGGCAGUAUAAGGAUGAUACUAACAUCAUGGGUAGCACAUAUAUAUGUGGAAUCAACCUCACAGAUGUAAAAACAUGUUUAGUGGAGAACAAUGGUUUCCAGCUAAUAUCAUGAUGUCAUGAGCCUAAAGAGGUGUACAAAUGUCGCAUCACAGUAAUAAUGAAUCUUUUGCAUUGUGGAUAAACCAAGACAUACACUUUCAGAGGCCAAAGCCCCACAUGUAUUAUGCUCUCAUACUACAUAACAAUUAAGCUGUACCAAAAUACAUGGAACUAUAAAUAUUCAUGGCAGCUGCAGCAGCUCAUGAUAUGAGGAUAUGGUUGUAAGACAUGCAA